AUUGAACGCUGGCGGCAUGCCUUACACAUGCAAGUCGAACGGUAACAGGUUAAGCUGACGAGUGGCGAACGGGUGAGUAAUGUAUCGGAACGUGCCCAGUCGUGGGGGAUAACUGCUCGAAAGAGCAGCUAAUACCGCAUACGACCUGAGGGUGAAAGCGGGGGAUCGCAAGACCUCGCGCGAUUGGAGCGGCCGAUAUCAGAUUAGGUAGUUGGUGGGGUAAAGGCCUACCAAGCCUACGAUCUGUAGCUGGUCUGAGAGGACGACCAGCCAAACUGGGACUGAGACACGGCCCAGACUCCUACGGGAGGCAGCAGUGGGGAAUUUUGGACAAUGGACGCAAGUCUGAUCCAGCCAUGCCGCGUGCGGGAAGAAGGCCUUCGGGUUGUAAACCGCUUUUGUCAGGGAAGAAAAGGUUCUGGCUAAUACCUGGGACUCAUGACGGUACCUGAAGAAUAAGCACCGGCUAACUACGUGCCAGCCGCCGCGGUAAGAC
rnacentral:rRNA from 1 species